rnacentral:rRNA from 1 species
UACGAAGGGGGCUAGCGUUGUUCGGAUUUACUGGGCGUAAAGCGCACGUAGGCGGAUUGUUAAGUCAGGGGUGAAAUCCCGGAGCUCAACUCCGGAACUGCCUUUGAUACUGGCAAUCUUGAGGCUGGAAGAGGUUAGUGGAAUUCCCAGUGUAGAGGUGAAAUUCGUAGAUAUUGGGAAGAACACCAGUGGCGAAGGCGGCUAACUGGUCCAGAUCUGACGCUGAGGUGCGAAAGCGUGGGGAGCGAACAGG